UAGGGAAUCUUCCACAAUGGGCGAAAGCCUGAUGGAGCAACGCCGCGUGUGUGAUGAAGGGUUUCGGCUCGUAAAACACUGUUGUAAGAGAAGAAUGACAUUGAGAGUAACUGUUCAAUGUGUGACGGUAUCUUACCAAAAAGGAACGGCUAAAUACGUGCCAG
rnacentral:rRNA from 1 species